GACGAACGCUGGCGGCGUGCCUAACACAUGCAAGUCGAACGGGGAUACAUUGUAGCAAUACGAUGUAUCUUAGUGGCGGACGGGUGAGUAACGCGUGAGCAACCUACCUUACAGAGGGGGAUAACACGCCGAAAGGUGUGCUAAUACCGCAUGACAUGUGGGGAUGGCAUCAUCCUUACAUCAAAGAUUUUAUCGCUGUAAGAUGGGCCCGCGUCCGAUUAGAUAGUUGGCGGGGUAAUGGCCCACCAAGUCGACGAUCGGUAGCCGGACUGAGAGGUUGAACGGCCACAUUGGGACUGAGACACGGCCCAGACUCCUACGGGAGGCAGCAGUGGGGAAUAUUGCGCAAUGGGGGAAACCCUGACGCAGCAACGCCGCGUGAAGGAAGAAGGCCUUGGUUGUAACUUUUAGUCUUUGGUGACGAUAAUGACGGUAGCCAGAGAGAAGCCACGGCUAACUACGUGCCAGCAGCCGCGGUAAAGUGUAGUGUA
rnacentral:rRNA from 1 species